CGAGAAGUCGAAGGUAGGAGCAGAAAGCGGUGUUAGUGUUAGUUCUGGCCCGUUUGGACCCAAACUAAAGUGUAUCAGUAUGAAGCAGGCGGUGACGGCGCACUGAUUCACUCUCGGAGCUCGGUUCACUAAUGACCGAAUCACCGAGGAACCGACCAAAGAUAACUCACACCCGCACGGAGAAGAAGAACAAGAGGAGGAGAAGAUGAGCUGGAGUGGGGCAAAGAGAACUGCAUUCAGAUCAAACGGAUACAAGAGAGGUGGCUGAGUUGUUUGAGGAUCUAAAGAAUUGAGUGUCACAAUUCAACAUGCACAUCAGCGAAACUUUUCCCUCUGACUACACCAGCACGCACGCACAGAAAUUCAUAGUGCAGCUCCAAGAACUCUCUUAUGGUGGACGGCACAGUCUGAUCAAACGCCUUCAGGGCGACGACGCCAUUCGUGCUCUCCACACCGAUCCUCGCACUUCCCUC
ensembl:lncRNA